rnacentral:rRNA from 1 species
AUGAACGCUGGCGGCGUGGAUAAGGCAUGCAAGUCGAACGGAGCAUCAUUUGAAUUUUUGCGAUUACAUCAAGAAUUGGAUUUUGAUGCUUAGUGGCAGACGGGGUAGUAACACGUAGGAACUUACCCAAGAGACGGGCAUAACUAGCCGAAAGGUUAGCUAAUUCCCGAUAGUUCUCGAAAGAGUAAAUCACUUAGAGUGGCUCUUGGAAAGGCCUGCGGGCUAUCAGCUUGUUGGUGAGGUAACGGCUCACCAAGGCUAUGACGGCUAGGGGAAGUGAGAGCUUGAUCCCCACCAAUGGAACUGCGACACGGUCCAUACACCUACGGGUGGCUGCAGUCAAGAACAUUCGACAAUGGGCGAAAGCCUGAUCGAGCGACGCCGCGUGCACGAAGAAGCUCUUCGGAGUGUAAAGUGCUUUUAUCUGGGAGGAAGCUUCGGCUGACUGUACCAGAAGAAUAAGGGCUUGCUAACCUCGUGCCAGCAGCCGCGGUAAGACGAGGAGCCCAAGCGUUAUCCGGAUUUACUGGGCGUAAAGGGUGUGUAGGGGGCAUAGUUAGUCUCCGUUUAAAUUUCAGGGCUUAACCCUGAAGCUGGCGGAGAAACGGCUAAGCUCGGAGGAUGUCAGAGGCAAGUGGAACUCUAGGUGUAGGGGUGAAAUCCGUUGAUAUCUAGGGGAACACCAAAGGCGAAGGCAACUUGCUGGGACAUUCCUGACCCUGAAACACGAAAGCGUGGGGAUCAAAAAGGAUUAGAUACCCUUGUAGUCCACGCCCUAAACGUUGAUGACUAGGCAUCCGAAGUAUCGACCCUUCGGGAGCCGUAAGCUAACGCGUUAAGUCAUCCGCCUGGGAAGUACGAUCGCAAGAUUAAAACUCAAAGGAAUAGACGGGGACUCGCACAAGCGGUGGAGCAUGUGGUUCAAUUCGACGGUAAACGAAGAACCUCACCAGGGCUUGAAAUCCAGACGAAGUUUUUCCGAAAGGAAAAAUGUCUCACAAGGACGGCUGGACAGGUGCUGCAUGGCUGUCGUCAGUUCGUGGUUUGAGCUGUUCCCUUAAGUGGGGUAACGAACGCAACCCUUAUCUCGUGUUACAAGUGUCACGAGAGACUGCUUCCGUACAGGGAGAGGAAGGCGGGAUGACGCCAAGUCAGCAUGGCCCUUUGAUGCCCUGGGCUACACACGUGCUACAAUGCUCGCUACAAUGGGCCGCAAUGCCGCUAAGGCGGAGCUAAUCCCAUCAAAAGCGGGCUCAGUUCGGAUUGAGGUCUGCAACUCGACCUCAUGAAGCUGGAAUCGCUAGUAAUCGCAGGUCAGCUACACUGCGGUGAAUACGUUCUCGAGUCUUGUACUCACCGCCCGUCAUUGCAGGGAAGCCGGGAGUACCCGAAGAUCAGCUUUGCUGGACGAAGGUAAGCUCGGUGACAAGGCAA